GCUCAGGACGAACGCUGGCGGCGUGCUUAACACAUGCAAGUCGAACGGUAAGGCCCUUCGGGGUACACGAGUGGCGAACGGGUGAGUAACACGUGGGUGAUCUGCCCUGCACUUCGGGAUAAGCCCGGGAAACUGGGUCUAAUACCGGAUAGUACUGCGCGGUGCAUGCCGUGUGGUGGAAAGAUUUAUCGGUGCAGGAUGGGCCCGCGGCCUAUCAGCUUGUUGGUGGGGUAAUGGCCUACCAAGGCGACGACGGGUAGCCGGCCUGAGAGGGCGACCGGCCACACUGGGACUGAGACACGGCCCAGACUCCUACGGGAGGCAGCAGUGGGGAAUAUUGCACAAUGGGCGCAAGCCUGAUGCAGCGACGCCGCGUGAGGGAUGAGCGGCCUUCGGGUUGUAAACCUCUUUCAGCAGGGACGAAGCGCAAG
rnacentral:rRNA from 1 species